rnacentral:lncRNA from 1 species
CAACUACAUUCAUGUCAAAAGAGUGAUAUUUCCUAUAUUCUGAUCUGCUUCUUGCCUGGAUAACCCAUUGGCAGGAUGAAGAAGGCAUCGGUAAUAAGUUACUGGAAUAUUUUGAGUAAGACUCUGAAAGAAAGGCCCACAAGAGGAACACGUUUUGAAGGGAAAGUGGGGGCAGGUCAGAAGCUUAGGGUGUAAAUCAAGCUGAUUGGGGCAGCCAGGCAAUAGCCUAGCACUUCACAAAUAUCACAGAACACAUGAUGAGCCAAGCACUUUACAGCGGACUUAGGCUAAUGUCUUCAUUGAGGAAACUGAGGCCCUAAAGGGGGAAGUAGCUGAGCAGCAAGACGGGCACUGAAAUUAAACUUCUAAGUUUUGCUCAGGGCCCGCUGAUCCAGAAUAGAGGCAACGUGCCACCUAAGACUAGCUUAGGGUCUGCCCACGGUGUGGUGGGACCAUGGAAGCCUGGCAAACCCCUGCAGGGAAAGAAAGGAUCCCAAGUUUCAGUGGGCUCUGAGUGCAUCUUCCCCAAGCAAAGCUGUCAGGCCACGUCCCAGACUGCAGCUUGCCUCCUUAAGGCUAAGAUGAAGGUUGAGCAAGGGAUGGUGCAAUUCCGGGUUAGGGAGGUUGAGGACCUUCAAGUGAAACAAUGGCUUAGGUGGAAACUCUCCCAAAGUCAGAGCUGCUUGUGGUUAAUGUUCCUGCUGCAGCUGUUCUAGACAAUGGUACUGAAAGGCUGAGUGUGGGUGAGUUCUUUCUUGACCCUGACUAUGUAAAGGGCCUCUUUUUAAAUGUUUUGGACUUCAUCAUCACGCUUUGCACAUUAGCAUUCUUGAAUUUUCUAUUUUUGGUGACUUCUAGCCAACAACAAG